CGUCCCAGAAGAAUUCGUUCCUUCCGACAGGGCUUUACGACCCGAAGGCCUUCAUCACCCACGCGGCGUUGCUGCGUCAAGCUUUCGCCCAUUGCGCAAGAUUCCCCACUGCUGCCUCCCGUAGGAGUCUGGACCGUGUCUCAGUUCCAGUGUGGCUGAUCAUCCUCUCAGACCAGCUAACCAUCUUUGCCUUGGUAGGCCGUUACCCUACCAACUAGCUAAUGGUGCGCAGGCCCAUCUCUAAGUGAUAGCUUGCAAGCAGAGGCCACCUUUGAUCCCUGUUCCCGAAGGAACUGUGGUCUUAUCUGGUAUUAGCCCGUCUUUCGACAGGUUAUCCCGGUCUUAGAGGUAGGUUACCUACGUGUUACUCACCCGUGCGCCACUUUACUCAUCCCUUGCGGGACUUUCUCGUUCGACUUGCAUGUGUUAGGCACGCCGCCAGC
rnacentral:rRNA from 1 species